rnacentral:rRNA from 1 species
CGUCAGAACGAACGCUGGCGGCGAUGCCUAACACAUGCAAGUCGAACGAGACCUUCGGGUCUAGUGGCGGCACGGGUGCGUAACGCGUGGGAAUCUGCCCUUGGGUUCGGAAUAACAGCGAGAAAUUGCUGCUAAUACCGGAUGAUGACGUAAGUCCAAAGAUUUAUCGCCCAAGGAUGAGCCCGCGUAGGAUUAGCUAGUUGGUGAGGUAAAAGGCUCACCAAGGCGACGAUCCUUAGCUGGUCUGAGAGGAUGAUCAGCCACACUGGGACUGAGACACGGCCCAGACUCCUACGGGAGGCAGCAGUGGGGAAUAUUGGACAAUGGGCGAAAGCCUGAUCCAGCAAUGCCGCGUGAGUGAUGAAGGCCUUAGGGUUGUAAAGCUCUUUUACCCGGGAUGAUAAUGACAGUACCGGGAGAAUAAGCUCCGGCUAACUCCGUG